UCCAGCGCCCCCUCCCCCCGGGCCCAGGAGGAACCCGGUUGCGCCGCUGCGGCUGCUUGCCUGCUGCCCUGUCCGCCGUGUCCGGCGAGGGCGCGAGGCGGCGACCCAGGCUAGGGCGCGAGGCUGCAGCCUGCAAGCUGCCCGGCGUCCGGCGAGGUAGUCAGUGGCUCACAGCUCACUGCUCGGUCCUCACUUAGUCACUUUCUCAGGAACACAAGAUGAGUAAAAGAAAUAAGACAUUGAUUUUUUUUUUCAAGUUCGAACCACCGAAACCAACUAGACUCAUUCAUCCGGGAAGCAAGAGGUGAUCCACAUUUGAUGAAUUGCAAUGAUCUUGGUCAUCUUGCCAUGAAUAUGGUUAAAAGUGAUAUGCACACAACUUUUUUCCUUGGUUUACCGUCUUGUUGAGUUAGCAUUGAUUUUACCUGUUGCGGUUUGCAACAGUGGAAAGAGCAUUCUCAGGACUGGAUUAAGGAACAAAAUGGGUGAUGAUUGGAUGAAUCAUAGAAUGGUGUGUUACAUUGAGCGAGAUGUAUUUGUUAGUAUUGAAGAAUCAAAGAUCAUCGAGCGAUUUCAAGGUUAUCGCACACGUAAAGGCGUUUUGCCUCGUCCUAGACGUUUAGCUUCUUCUGCUAUCGAAGAUGUAGUCAUGGAAGGCUCAGAUCAACCAAUCCUUUGAUUUGGUAUCAAUCUUUUGUAUCAUCGAUCUAUGCUACAUAUGGUCUUUGAUUUGUCUUGCUUUAUUAGUUGACCCAUCAAGGAACAAAUGUUGUCAUUGCA